rnacentral:rRNA from 1 species
UUAACUUGUAUUGCCAGAGCGCGAGCAAAUAAGCAAAAAGAUUAGAAGGGGAUCCGAAGGAUCCCCUUGCUUCAUAAUAAAAUUGUGUAGACUAAGUGGGNAAAAGAUAAANCAAGGGAUUUAAAAGAAUCCCGGGGCGCGGGAAGGGGGUGCCAAUGGCGUGGUUUUCCCCCCCCGCCCCGGGUCCCGAUUUAUAUGAAAAACCACUCUUUUUAUUAAGAUUACUGUCUACAACCGUACAAGUAAGAUAGUUUGGUUGGGGCGACCGCCUUCGAAAAAGUAUCGAAGGCGCACAUAAGAUUAGUCCGGAGGGGGGUCCGAAGGCCCUCCCGGGGGUAAUGCCCCAAAGAAAAGAUUAGUUUGACUGAGAGGGCUACAACCCGAACAGGCGCUAUUAAAAAGGGAUAAAAAGUCUUUUUGCGGGUCAUAGUGAUCCGUUGUUAUAUUGUGGGAUUGACAACGAUCAACGAAGA